UUUUCCUGCUGUGCGAUAUUUACUGUCUUACAGCCUGUAUCUACAGUCCUGCAGCACAGCGAAAAGAAAUCCUGAUCAUGUUAAACUCCGACAAUUUCACUUUUGCUGUGGGAACAUGAUGGGCUAUUUUCUAUUUCCUCAGAAACUCGUUGGAAUUUACCUUGGAAUUCAUGUGAGAGCUUCAGGUUCAAACUUAGUAAUGAAGACAAUUUCUGCCCUGAGAAACUGGAUGUUGACUUGAUCAAACUUAAUGAUGGAAAACACCUGAGACCAAUGAGCCCUGAACGACAACUCCUGUGUCCUCCAGCUGUGGGUUCUGCCAAGGACUCGUAGAGCUGAGGAUGGACAUGGAAUGAUGCCUUAUGAAACAAGUUUAAAGCAUUCUAGUAUGAGAUCUACCUCGUUUAAUUUUUCCUUGCAUCGCCUUUGGCUGUCCUCUGAACUCUCUUCUCUUUGAGAUCUGUCCAUCUCUGAGUGCAGUGGUUACAACUGGACCCUGUCUCCCAGCUGAAGACUCCCCAGUGAAAACAGAGCAGAAAAAAUGACUUCCCUGACUACAGAUGACACUGCCAAAGCCAGGCCCACUUAAGGUGCUUUGUUUGCAGCCAGGCCUUUGACUCCUGAUAAUUCCACGGUCACUGCCAUCC